AUUGAACGCUGGCGGCAUGCCUUACACAUGCAAGUCGAGCGGCAGCGCGGGGGCAACCCUGGCGGCGAGCGGCGGACGGGUGAGUAAUACAUCGGAACGUGUCCUUUCGUGGGGGAUAACCAGUCGAAAGACUGGCUAAUACCGCAUGAGAUCUCACGAUGAAAGCGGGGGACCGCAAGGCCUCGCGCGAUUGGAGCGGCCGAUGUCGGAUUAGCUAGUUGGCGGGGUAAAAGCCCACCAAGGCGACGAUCCGUAGCUGGUUUGAGAGAACGACCAGCCACACUGGGACUGAGACACGGCCCAGACUCCUACGGGAGGCAGCAGUGGGGAAUCUUGGACAAUGGGGGCAACCCUGAUCCAGCCAUGCCGCGUGUGUGAAGAAGGCCUUCAGGUUGUAAAGCACUUUCGGCCGGAACGAAAUCGCGCGGAUUAAUAACCCGCGUGGAUGACGGUACCGGAAGAAGAAGCACCGGCUAACUACGUGCCAGCAGCCGCGGUAA
rnacentral:rRNA from 1 species